rnacentral:rRNA from 1 species
ACCCGCACAAGCGGUGAUGAUGUGUUUAAUUCGAUGCAACGCGAAAACCUUACCCACCUUUGACAUGGCAGGAAGUUACCAGAGAUGGUUUCGUGCUCGAAAGAGAACCUGCACACAGGUGCUGCAUGGCUGUCGUCAGCUCGUGUCGUGAGAUGUUGGGUUAAGUCCCGCAACGAGCGCAACCCUUGCCAUCAGUUGCUACGAAAGGGCACUCUGAUGGGACUGCCGGUGACAAACCGGAGGAAGGUGGGGAUGACGUCAAGUCCUCAUGGCCCUUAUAGGUGGGGCUACACACGUCAUACAAUGGCCGGUACAAAGGGCAGCCAACCCGCGAGGGGGAGCCAAUCCCAUAAAGCCGGUCGUAGUCCGGAUCGCAGUCUGCAACUCGACUGCGUGAAGUCGGAAUCGCUAGUAAUCGUGGAUCAGCAUGUCACGGUGAAUACGUUCCCGGGUCUU